CAUGUCCUGUCACUGUUUAUAUGUAGCUGCAGCUGCAUUGUGAUAGUGGUUGUGAUAAUGAUUGCAAGAUCAAGAGUUCCCCAGUGGCUAAAAGUGACAGGCACUGUAUGCAUUAUUCACAACACAGCAUGUUUGCGUCAUGGUCUUCUGAGGCUACUGUUGGUGAAAAAUGUUUCAUUCCGGAGACUUUUCCUGAUUUGGCUGCAUUGAAAAUCAGAGCAAACUGCUUGGAUGUGUUGGCUAGCACACAGAUAUACUGAUGAGACUGCUUGACCAGCAUGGACAGAUUAGGAGAAAAUGGACGCCUGGACAUAGACUGGUAACUUGAGCUGUGGCGUGGAGAGGUAGAGUGAGUCAAACUUUGAUCCCACGGUUGGCAGUUUGAUUCCUGUUCUCCCCAGUCCACAUGUUGGAGUGUCCUUGGCCAAGACACUGAACCCCAUUGACCAGGCCAGCGCCCUGCAUGGCAGCCACCAUCGGUGUGUGAAUGGGUGGAUCUCUUUGUCCAGAGACAUACAAAGUGCCGGAGUGGGAAUUGAACCGGCAACCUUGUUGACAGCCAUUUGUAGUCAGGGAAUUGUUUCCAGUGCAUUCAUGAUGGAGUGGAGGCCAGCAAAGAGGUGAUGCAAAACUACAGGGACUGGUCCUGUGACCAUGUCAGAGAACAGUGCA